rnacentral:rRNA from 1 species
UCGGACUGGAGUCUGCAACCCGACUCCACGAAGUUGGAUUCGCUAGUAAUCGCGCAUCAGCCAUGGCGCGGUGAAUACGUUCCCGGGCCUUGUACACACCGCCCGUCAAGCCAUGGGAGCCGAGGGCGCCUGAAGUCCGGGACCGCGAGGACCGGCCUAGGGCGAAACUGGUGACUGGGGCUAAGUCGUAACAAGGUAAC